rnacentral:rRNA from 1 species
UGGGGAAUAUUGGACAAUGGGCGCAAGCCUGAUCCAGCCAUUCCGCGUGCAGGACGAAGGCCUUCGGGUUGUAAACUUCUUUUUUACGGGGCGAAAAGCCCUUCUAUAAUACAGAGGUGUCAUGACGGUACCGUAAAAAUACGCACCGGCUAACUACGUGCCAGCAGCCGCGGUAAUACGUAGGGUGCAAGCGUUAAUCGGAAUUACUGGGCGUAAAGCUUGCGUAGGCGGUUUUGUAAGUCAGAGGUGAAAGCCCCUCGCUCAACCUGGGAACUGCCAUUGAGACUGCAAGGCUGGAGUGAGGCAGAGGGAGAUGGAAUACGGAGUGUAGCAGUGAAAUGCGUAGAUAUGAGGAGGAAUACCGAUGGCGAAGGCAAUUUCCUGGUCAUGGACUGACGCUGAUGUACGAAAGCGUGGGGAGCAAACA